UCACGUAGAUCACUUUGCGGGCAGGGU
rnacentral:piRNA from 1 species